ACCUGGCUGGCUCAGUUGGUGGAGCAUGGGACUCUUGAUCUCAAGGUCAUGUGUUCAAGCCCCAUGUUGGGCA
rnacentral:tRNA from 1 species